CCUAGACUUUGAAAAAUAAUGGUUGAAACUAUAAUAAAUAUAAAUUUUAAAAUAAUUUUAUAAUUUAUUUUAAUAUAUAUAAAAUAAAUUUUAAUUUAAAUAAAAUUUACAUGAUAAUGAGAAAGAACAAAAUUUGUUAUUAGAUUUUAUAGAUAAAUUAGAAGAUCCAAAAGAGGAUAUCUAUUAAAACUAAAAGGAUUAAAGGGAAAGA
rnacentral:lncRNA from 1 species